rnacentral:rRNA from 1 species
AAUCAACGCUGGCGGCGUGCCUAACACAUGCAAGUCGAACGAGAAAGUGACUUCGGUCACUGGACAGUGGCGUCCGGGUGAGUAACACGUGGGUAAUCUACCUUCGGGUGGGGAAUAACGUCUCGAAAGAGACGCUAAUACCGCAUAAUGCAGCGGCACCUUAUGGUGAAUAGUUGUUAAAGCGGGGGAGUCGCAAGACCUCGCGCCUGAAGAGGA